rnacentral:rRNA from 13 species
AACAUUGAAGGCCGAAGUGGGGAAGGGUUCCAUGUGAACAGCACUUGGACAUGGGUUAGCCGAUCCUGAGAGACAGGUUAAAUUCCAUUGGAUUGGAGCUUUGGCUCUGUUUCUCGAAAGGGAAGCUGGUUAGUAUUCCAGCGCCGAGACGUGGAUAAUAUGUGGCAACACAAGUGAACUCGGACACGCCAUAGGGGACCCCAGGAAGCGUUGUCUUUUCUUUUUAACAGUUUGACUUACCCUGGAAUCAGAUCAUCUGGAGAUAGGGUUUUCAAACUGGAAUAGCACCUUGUCUAACAGGGUGUCUGGAGUGUUCUCGCUGGCCCUUGAAAAUCCGAGGGAAUUU